rnacentral:miRNA from 1 species
AAGUGUGUAUGUGUGUGUACAUGCACAUACAUGCAAUAAAUACACAUUUUUCAAUUCAACAGAGAUGGGAAUAAAU